rnacentral:rRNA from 1 species
AUGGCGCUCGCAUCCGGGUUCUUCCCGCCACCGUCGUACACCCCGGGUGCGUCCCAGUGCGCCCCCUUCGUCCUGGGCCUCGGCUUCGGCGGCGAGUUCUGCGACCCGUCGUUUGCCGGCUACUACGACUACGAGGAGUACGCCCCAUCGGGCCCUUCGCCGCUCGCGAGCUCCAAGGACUACUACACUCCAUCGAGCCCUGACUACAGUCCGUCGAGCCCCGACUACACUCCGGAGAGCCCCGACUACACGCCGGCGAGCCCGGACUACACUCCGGCGAGCCCCGACUACACUCCCGCGAGCCCAGACUACACUCCGGCGAGCCCAGACUACACUCCGCCGAGCCCCGACUACACUCCCGCGAGCCCAGACUACACUCCGGCGAGCCCGGACUACACUCCGGCGAGCCCUUCGCUGUCACUGGAGUACACUUCGUCGAGCCCUGUUCGGCUCGCUUUCAUGAAGCCGUCUCCUCCGCGCGGCGCAUCCCCAGACUACACGCCCCUGACGCCGUCAGAGCACGCUGCUUCAUCACCUUACUAUACUCCGUUGAGUCCUCCCGGUCCCGGGCACGCUUGUUCGCCGGAUUACACGCCCAGCACGCCGCCUCCGUUGCCCCUGGUGGUGUCUGACGCCGAGUCGUGCGCGUCGCCGUAUUACACACCGUCAACUCCUUCCAGGAGCGCCGAGUCGCCGGACUACAUGCCCAGCACGCCGCCUCCAUCGCCCCUGGCUUCAGAAGCAGAGUCGACCACGUCUACAGCGCGCUGCCGCCACCAUCCGUACCAGAGGAGCGGCGCCGGCCGGAUCAACCGCGGCGGACCUCAGCGAGCCUUGGCAUAUUGA